UUCAGCAAUUUCUGCUUUUAUUCCACACACAAAGACAUUUUCGCCAGCUCGAAUGAUAGCACUACCAUUAGCAGUAGAUAUGCAAUUAUCAUUAAUUACAAUUUCUCUGAAUUCUGAUACAGACCGCCCAUCUGAUCGAACAUCCUGAUUAAGAAGAUGUGAUAAAUACUGCUCAGGCGUGAUUUUCUUAAAAAUUCUAUCCAGUAAAAUGUUAGUACUGUAACAAAGAAAAACAAAGUGAAAAGGAAACAGAGCACUAAAAAAGAUAGAAUAAGAAAUCAAAGAGCAACUUACGAAGGUGUAAAUGAAAGCUGUUUUACCCCCGAAACAGUUUUCAUGAUGUGAAAAGAAUGUAGUGUUUCAAUAACGAAGCUAAAUGAUAUAGUAACGUAGAAAGACCAAAUAACUGAAGAACGAUACUGAAAAAUAUAUAAAAUGAAUAUGAAUCACAAGAAUUCGAUAUAUGUGCUGAAUUUUGUCUACAGGUUGAAAUUAUGAAAUGGAGUAGAGGGAUGAAAUAGGUGUACGAAGUAAAGUAUGAAAAACUUAUAU